GCUGGAGAAGGACAAUAUAGCACUUCAGAAAGAAAAUACAAAUACCCUAGGAGUACAUGGUGGUAGUGUAUUAAUUCCUUAGCUACAUGUAGACUUUUAUUAGGUCACUUAUAACUAGGGUGACAUAUAAUUUAUAUUCCAAACUGGGUCACUUUUGAGAGUGAAAGGAUGUGCUAUUUGAAUGGGACACUGAGACAAUAGGUGUAAAACAGAACUGUUUCAGGAAAACCAGGACACUUGAUCACCUCCUACUAAUAACAUACUUUUCUCCAUACUUAGUCCCAGUUCCUUGGACCACAGAUAAUUUUUUUUCCUACAUAGUACUCUGAUCUGCAUUUGAGGAACUUGUCAAGCUUUGAUUCCUUUUUCUUGGUCUUGUUGGAAUGAAGGAAUUCUUUUCAUUUUUUCCUGCUCCCCUGGACUGUUCUUCUGGUUUACAGCCUUGAUGGAGGUAGGAUGAUGAUUCUGAAACUUCAGAUCUUCAAAGAAGGGAAGGAAAACACCUUUGUUUAUAUUGUGGAAGUGGUGUUUUUAUAUGUUGGAUCACUGUAAUGCUUUCAUUUUGUUUUCCUAUAAAUAAAUAUUUUUUUAUUCUUAUAUCAAGCCACGUGUUUUAUUCUGUUAGGUAACUUUAUCAUCUUACAUUUUUCUGGUAAAUUAAAAAUUAACAGAAGUAAUAGUUGCCUUUGGGGGUAGUACUUACUCACAUAUGAUUUUCCUCACCCCUAAGAUCCUUAUUUGGAAUCUGGGAUGGGACUAGGUUGUCAAGGUUUGGAAAUCACCACUUUGGAGUACUAGAAUGGAAUCCUAAACAGUCUCAAAUUGAGAUAAACCUGAACCCACCUGUGUUCUUCCUAGAGUCUUACUGUUUCUCUGUACAGUCUGCCAUCUAGUGGUAGGAAUGCAGAAUACACCAGAACACCCAGGAGAAGCUGUAGGUUUUCAGAUUUUUUUUUAAUAUUAAGAAUGCUUAUAUAGGAGCUAAAACAUUUUGAUAAUGGGGGAAAAAAGAAUGACCUUUUUUGCUGGAAAAUAUAAAUCAUUGGUAGUGAGUUCUGAGAGUAUUCAAAGAGUAUGUGUUUUUCUAUAGAGCAUUUUUAUGACUUAAAUCUUCAGCUCUCAUAAGAUAUAUGUAUUUAUAAAAGAUUUGUGGGUGAAGAGGCAAAUGCAUAAAUAAAGAUAGAUGAUUUUAAGAGACAUAGGUUGGGCUGAUUUGAAAAAGACACUUGUAUAUUGAUUACAAUUUUAGAGCUGUUACGUAAUGUUUCCAUUAACUAAAACACUUUAUUUUGCACUUUUAAAAUUAAAGUAUAGACAGUUCAGCAAACUUGGCUUGUUUUCACUAUCACUUAAGAGGCUAAGUUUCAGCCAGAUACUAAUGUAGAGUAUCUUAGGGUUGACUUUGUUUACCUAGCUUCAUCUGAAUUCUUAGGUAUUCCCUCCUUAGUUGUAUUUCUUUCCUCUCCUACAGUUAUAGAGGAGGUCAGUCUUUUGUUUUUUGUUGUUUUUUAAAGUGUUCUGAAAACACAACACUUGACAUUUAUGUGAUAUAUCCCACAUAUGCUGCAGACUUAGAAAUACUUUCUAAAUAUGUCAAAUUUUUUAUUCCUCUAUUUACAAAAAUUGGAUUUUUUUGGGUGGCUUCCAUAAGCACCUGAAAUUAGCACUGAUAGAGGUCUUUUAGAGUUAAUGCGUCUUUAAAAAAACUUUGUUUAAAGUAAAUAGGGAUAGCCAGAUAAUGAAUUUGUAAUGGCAUGGUUAUAGUAAUUUUUCUGUUGAAUAGUUUUAAGGGAAGAAAACCUUGUUUUACAUGGUGAUUAAAAAAAUCAGUUAAAAGGAAAGAAACACUUACCAUGGAAUAAACAGGUUAAAUAUAACAUGUACUAUCACCAAAUUGUAGAGUUAUCUUUAUUUUUCUUAGUUUUCAUAUUUGUGAAUCUUUCGUUAAUUUUGCAGAGAACACAGUGACAGAAAUAGCAUAUCUAGUUGUGCUCACAGAUUGGUUUUUCCUGCAGCUGCUGUAUGUUUUUGUUUUGUUUUGGUUUUUAGUAAAGUGGGCCUUUGCCUUCCUUACUUGGUGGGUUUUGGAGAUAACUUAAGGGCCUUCUACCAUGGUGAGAGCUUGAACUUUUGUUCCAUAUUGGCCUACUUAAUGGAACAGUGGCUACCAGAUUUCAGCUGUCUUGCCAUGCAACUCUUGUGCGUGUAUCACCUCUUCCUCACAUGCUUGAGGAAGUAAAUGAACACGUGUGGCUGUCCUUUCUGCCAUUGAUCAUGGUAUGCCCCAGAGGGUCUGGAAUGUCCUUGUGCAUUGAUUUAGCUCCUUUAGCUUCAUAGUACUUGUUAUCAAAGCCAUUUGGAUAUCUUUAUUUACUUUUAAUACUCUGAAACGCAUCCUUCCCUCCUCUUUUCAAAUUAACUCAGUCCUUGUUACUUGUACUGAACAUUCUGUAGUACGUGAGUCUUUCCCCAGUUUUUACCUUCACAUCCAGUUAAUAAGUUGGUACAGGAUUGGUAUUUGAUGUGUGACAUGAGAGGUGCUUAUUGAGAUUUGUAAAAUUAAAUAAUAGUGAUAUAGUUCUUUACAUAUUGAUUUUUAUUACUGUUCAUAUAUAACUUAGUUGCUGAAUAAGUUUGAAAGUGUUCAGUUGUUUUUGCAUCAACCUAUUUAGGCAUAUCAGUAUAUAUCAGAAAAUAUUAUAUACUUACAAUUUUAAAAAUGAAAUCUUACUGUGUAUUGAUCUUUAACAUGGCUUUGAUUUAACGAACUAUCAGCAUUUUUCCCUUGUCAGCUUUUUUUGCCCUGUGUUUGUUGGCCUCAUAGUAUUUCAUUGUCAGACCACUGUCAUGUAAUGAACUAUUUCCUCCAUUAUUGAACAUGUCCUCUUACAUUGUAACUUAGUUCCUUUAACUUCAUAGCACUUUUAUCAAAGCCAUUCGGAUAUCUUUAUUCCUUAUUAAUACUUUGAAAUGCACCCUUCUCUCCUCUUUUCAAAUUAACUCAAUCUUUGCUACUUGUACUGAAUUCUAUAGUAUGUAAGUCUUUCCCCAGUUUUUUAUCUUCACAUCAAAUUAAUAAGUUGGUUAGAUUUUUUUUUUUCUUAAGGCAUAAGUUAAUCUAUGAAGACCCUAUUUCUGAAUUAGUUCUAAUGGGAAUUAGGCAAAAGUGUAGCAUUGUGUUUCACACAGAGUACCCGCAAACUAUAAAGAUAAAAUGGUAAGUUACAUCUUAAUUUGUUACCCCUUACACAAAAAAUUGAGUGGAAUAAGGUAUAAAACCAUGCAUUCCAAUUCUCAGACAUUUGACACUUAUGACAAGGGCAGAUGUGCCUCUGUGUAUAAUUCUUUGGGCUUAAGUCUGAUUUCAACUAGCAUGUUUUAGAAAUACUUUCAACUUUUUGCUAAAUGAGAAUAAUGUUGCUGGUAUUUUUAAAAAGCACAGGUUCAGAAAUUUGUCUGCUGUUUCUUGGCUAUUUUUGUUACUGUUUCUUGGUGAAUAUUUGUUCCUACCUAUUUGUACUCCUACCCAGGAAAGAUGUCGAAGAUCUGAUCAAUGAAGCAACAUUUGAUGAUUUACUGAAUUUGCCUUCCAGAUUCAGUGUAUCUCCAAUUUUCCAGAUGACUGAAGAAAUUGGUCGUGUUAUUGAAAUUGAUUCUGAAGGCAGUUGCAAAAAGUAUAAGCCCACAGCGAACAUCCUAUUCAGCAGUAAAAAGCUCAAAGUCUUUCCUCUAAAAUCAAGAAAGGACAAGACAAGAAUGUCCACUCUUUGCCACUUCUAUUCAACAUAGUACUGGAAAUCCUACCCAGAGCAACUAGGCAGGAAAAAGAAAUUAAAGGCAAUCCAAGUUGGAAAGGAAAAAGUUAAACUGUCACUGUUUGCAGA